CCUACGUGCUGCACCAGUGGGGAAUAUUGCACAAUGGGCGCAAGCCUGAUGCAGCCAUGCCGCGUGUGUGAAGAAGGCCUUCGUGUUGUAAAGCACUUUCAGCGGGGAGGAAGGCGUUAAGGUUAAUAACCUUAGCGAUUGACGUUACCCGCAGAAGAAGCACCGGCUAACUCCGUGCCAGCAGCCGCGGUAAUACGGAGGGUGCAAGCGUUAAUCGGAAUUACUGGGCGUAAAGCGCACGCAGGCGGUCUGCCAAGUCGGAUGUGAAAUCCCCGGGCUCAACCUGGGAACUGCAUUCGAAACUGGCAGGCUAGAGUCUUGUAGAGGGGGGUAGAAUUCCAGGUAUAGCGGUGAAAUGCGUAGAGAUCUGGAGGAAUACCGGUGGCGAAGGCGGCCCCCUGGACAAAGACUGACGCUCAGGUGCGAAAGCGUGGGGAGCAAACAGGAUUAGAUACCCUUGUAGUC
rnacentral:rRNA from 1 species